CUGGAGGUAUCAGAAGUGCGAAUGCUGACAUAAGUAACGAUAAAGCGGGUGAAAAGCCCGCUCGCCGGAAGACCAAGGGUUCCUGUCCAACGUUAAUCGGGGCAGGGUGAGUCGACCCCUAAGGCGAGGCCGAAAGGCGUAGUCGAUGGGAAACAGGUUAAUAUUCCUGUACUUGGUGUUACUGCGAAGGGGGGACGGAGAAGGCUAUGUUGGCCGGGCGACGGUUGUCCCGGUUUAAGCGUGUAGGCUGGUUUUCCAGGCAAAUCCGGAAAAUCAAGGCUGAGGCGUGAUGACGAGGCACUACGGUGCUGAAGCAACAAAUGCCCUGCUUCCAGGAAAAGCCUCUAAGCAUCAGGUAACAUCAAAUCGUACCCCAAACCGACACAGGUGGUCAGGUAGAGAAUACCAAGGCGCUUGAGAGAACUCGGGUGAAGGAACUAGGCAAAAUGGUGCCGUAACUUCGGGAGAAGGCACGCUGAUAUGUAGGUGAAGUCCCUUGCGGAUGGAGCUGAAAUCAGUCGAAGAUAC
rnacentral:rRNA from 1 species